GCCAGAUGUUGUGGUGCACCUGUAGUCCCAGCUACUCAGGAGGCUGAGGCAAGAGGAUCACUUAAACCCAGGAGGUCGAGACCAGCCUGAGCAACGUGAGAUCCUGUCUCAA
rnacentral:sRNA from 1 species